rnacentral:tRNA from 1 species
GCCUGGCUGGCUCAGUCUGUAGAGCAUGGGACUCAUGACCUCAGGGUUGUAAGUUUGAGCCCUACGUUAGGUG